rnacentral:rRNA from 1 species
AUACGGAGGGGGCUAGCGUUGUUCGGAAUUACUGGGCGUAAAGCGUACGUAGGCGGACUGAUCAGUUGGGGGUGAAAUCCCAGGGCUUAACCCUGGAACUGCCUUCAAUACUGUCAGUCUUGAGAUUGGAAGAGGUGAGUGGAAUUCCUAGUGUAGAGGUGAAAUUCAUAGAUAUUAGGAGGAACACCAGUGGCGAAGGCGGCUCACUGGUCCAAUACUGACGCUGAGGUACGAAAGCGUGGGGAGCAAACAGGAUUAGAUACCCCAGUAGUCC